GCUUUGGGAAUGGGGCCUGGUACUGGCUGAGUGCUCAGAAACAGCAAGGGCAGUGAUGGUGUCUGACGCAUUGAGCACUUACCACGUCCACUCUCCAGAUUUAACCCUGACAACCUACGCAUGAGGGAGACUGCACAGCAAUGAGACUGCGAAGUAUGAUGAAAUGUGAAGAUGGAAAGCAAAUUGAUGUCAGCAUUAAGCAAACACUGGAGAAGCCUGGCCUCUGGGUGACUUCUUAAGAGCAGACUAGACAGGCCUUAUUCCCUCCGACCCCCUCGCUUAGUGGAAUGAAAAGUGAACCCGCUUUGGAGUCAGAAACCUGGAUAGAUCGGGCUCUGACCCUUAG